AAUAAUUAAAGGUUAGUGGGGUGGUGGGGGAUAAGCUUUCUUUUUGAGCAGGGGCAAUAACAAAAAUAAAACAUAUUCUCGUUGAAAUUUUAGUGGGGUCGUGGGGGCAACUGCCCCCAAUAUACAUCCGCCUCUGAGUGUGUGAAUAUAAAAUGCAAGUAAAAAAGCAAUGACAUUCAUGGUGCUGGACAAAAUGGUAGGCCAGUUUUCUUAAGUAAAAUUAAAAAUCUGUUAAAAGGACAUAAACAUAAG
rnacentral:misc_RNA from 1 species